ACUCUCUCAGCUGGAGUUCUAGGUGACCAGUGAGACCCUGACAAAAACUCAAGACACCGUAUAGUGAGGGGGCUCCCUGCAGGUGUAGCAAGAAUGGAAAUGAAUCACGAAAAGAUGUCAGGAGAAAGGUCCAGACUUCAGAAAUUCCUGGGCUUCAGUGUACAUGCAGUGAGACAAAGAGACAGUGAGAGACGGAGAGCUGUCUACCAUUUCAGAGGAGAAGGGAAAUGAAAGUGGUUCCCGUCGGCUAGCCAGACAGAACACCUUUGCUGUGAAGGUCUGCAAGAACUGGUUAGCAACAGCAAACACGGACAUUCUUUCACCACACAAAGCAGCAGAGGUAAACAAUGGGAGCAGCCUGGUCAAGGUCCCAUGAGGGGUGACUCAGCACAACUCCACUUGACCAAGCAGCUCUCUCACAUCUGAAGCAACAAGAUUCAACACCAACUACAAGCGUAUUGCUCAUUACUGCUUUCUCGGUUGACUGUUUGUCUAGACUGUAUGGAGCUUCUGAAAUAAACCUUCCUGAGAAUAAU